ACUGUGGUAACCUAGAGCAAGCUGCAAAGGAGGAAAUCACAUCAUAUGCUCAAAGGAAAUGUCAGUUGCUGUCAGAUGCUCGUAGGCACUACAAUGGGGGUCGUAGUUCAGAGGCUUUGUUCAGCACUUGCUUUCCUGGAUGUGAAGUGCCUUCGUGGUUUGGUCAUGAAGCAGUUGGAUCUCUGUUGCAAC